AUUCCGGUUGAUCCUGCCGGAGGCCAUUGCUAUUGGGAUUCGAUUUAGCCAUGCUAGUCGUACGAGUUCAUACUCGUGGCGAAUAGCUCAGUAACACGUGGCCAAACUACCCUUCGGAGCACAAUACCCUCGGGAAACUGAGGCUAAUAGUGCAUACCACAGUCCACCUGGAAUGAGGAUUGUGCCAAACGCUCCGGCGCCGAAGGAUGUGGCUGCGGCCGAUUAGGUAGACGGUGGGGUAACGGCCCACCGUGCCAAUAAUCGGUACGGGUCAUGAGAGUGAGAACCCGGAGACGGAAUCUGAGACAAGAUUCCGGGCCCUACGGGGCGCAGCAGGCGCGAAACCUUUACACUGCACGCCAGUGCGAUAAGGGAAUCCCAAGUGCGCAGGCAUAGAGCCUGCGCUUUUGUUCACCGUAGGGAGGUGAACGAAUAAGGGCUGGGCAAGACCGGUGCCAGCCGCCGCGGUAAUACCGGCAGCCCGAGUGAUGGCCGAUUUUAUUGGGCCUAAAGCGUCCGUAGCUGGCUGCGCAAGUCCAUCGGAAAAUCCACCCGCUCAACGGGUGGGCGUCCGGUGGAAACUGCGUGGCUUGGGACCGGAAGGCGCGACGGGUACGUCCGGGGUAGGAGUGAAAUCCCGUAAUCCUGGACGGACCGCCGAUGGCGAAAGCACGUCGCGAGGACGGAUCCGACAGUGAGGGACG
rnacentral:rRNA from 1 species